GGGCCCGCACAAGCAGUGGAGUAUGUGGUUUAAUUCGAAGAUACGCGAAAACCUUACCAGGGCUUGACAUCCGCAGAACCUUGAUGAGAAUCAGGGGUGCCUUCGGGAACUGCGUGACAGGUGGUGCAUGGUUGUCGUCAGCUCGUGUCGUGAGAUGUUGGGUUAAGUCCCGCAACGAGCGCAACCCUUAUUGCUAGUUGCCAGCAUUUAAGUUGGGCACUCUAGCGAGACUGCCGUUGACAAAACGGAGGAAGGUGGGGACGACGUCAAAUCAUCAUGCCCCUUAUGUCCUGGGCUACACACGUACUACAAUGGCCGUUAACAACGAGAAGCAAUACUGCGAGGUGGAGCAAAUCUCUAAAAACGGUCCCAGUUCAGAUUGCAGGCUGAAACUCGCCUGUAUGAAGUUGGAAUUGCUAGUAAUCGCGAAUCAGCAUGUCG
rnacentral:rRNA from 1 species